rnacentral:lncRNA from 1 species
GCCUUCGCCAUCGCCUUCGUCUUCGUCACCGUCACCGUAGCCGCUGUAAAACAACAUUUCAUUUUUUCAUUUUUUUUUUUUUUCCCCACCAAGAUGGCGCUGUCUAAGCAAGCAGAGAAGUACAUGCGGCUUGUGACCACCGUGUUGACGGUGGCCUCCUAUCUCAUGCAAAUUGUGGCCGUUUGCACGGAUUACUGGUUUGUCUUGGAGACACCUCGAGGAGUUUACCGUUCCAGUAGCAAGCUUUUUAUGGUGGAAGCCUCGCACGGCCUUUGGAGGGUGUGCCGUGUCGAGGUGAGAAAUGUGUCGGAUUUAAGCCUCACGCGUAAGU